rnacentral:rRNA from 1 species
GAUGAACGCUGGCGGCGUGCCUAAUACAUGCAAGUAGAACGCUGAAGGAGGAGCUUGCUCUUCUGGAUGAGUUGCGAACGGGUGAGUAACGCGUAGGUAACCUGCCUGGUAGCGGGGGAUAACUAUUGGAAACGAUAGCUAAUACCGCAUGACAACAGUUAUUGCAUGAUAACUGUUUAAAAGGGGCAACUGCUCCACUACCAGAUGGACCUGCGUUGUAUUAGCUAGUUGGUGAGGUAACGGCUCACCAAGGCGACGAUACAUAGCCGACCUGAGAGGGUGAGCUGCCACGCUGGGACGGGGACACGGUCCGGAACCCUAGGGGAGGCAGCAGUAGGGAAUCUCCGGCAAUGGACGCAAGUCUGAACGAGGAACGCCGCGUGAGUGCAGAAGGUAUUCAGGUCGUGAAGAUCUGUUGUGAGAGAGGAACGAGUGUGAGUGUGGCAAGUUCACACUGUGACGGUAUCCUAACAGAAAGCGACGGCUAACUACGUG